rnacentral:rRNA from 1 species
ACGGGAGGCAGCAGUGGGGAAUAUUGCACAAUGGGGGAAACCCUGAUGCAGCGACGCCGCGUGAGUGAAGAAGUAUUUCGGUAUGUAAAGCUCUAUCAGCAGGGAAGAAAAUGACGGUACCUGACUAAGAAGCCCCGGCUAACUACGUGCCAGCAGCCGCGGUAAUACGUAGGGGGCAAGCGUUAUCCGGAUUUACUGGGUGUAAAGGGAGCGUAGACGGCGAUGCAAGUCUGAUGUGAAAGCCCGGGGCUCAACCCCGGCACUGCAUUGGAAACUGUGUUGCUAGAGUGCAGGAGAGGUAAGUGGAAUUCCUAGUGUAGCGGUGAAAUGCGUAGAUAUUAGGAGGAACACCAGUGGCGAAGGCGGCCUGCUGGACAUUAACUGACGCUGAGGCGCGAAAGCGUGGGGAGCAAACAGGAUUAGAUACCCUGGUA